UAUGGUUUUUUCAUCAUGAACAUUUCAGUGUGCUUCUUAGAAAAGAGCACGCAGUUCCUUUAUGGAUACGUGUGGUCCUGGCACGGAGAUUCUUGUGCCAAUGCUGACCUUUGUCCAUGACGAAGAGGAACUUCCACCAAUGUCUUCUCUCAUCCUUAUCUUCGCGACGUCCGCUCAUCUAGCUUCACUGCUUUGUAUGAACUACUACACAACUUGUCUUCUUCAUUGGCGAGUUGGAUCCCUUCAGUGUUCGCUUCCGCCCGCUGUGACACACCUGUAAUCAUUCACCGCGGGAUUAUGCCCAGGUAAUGCAGAGGAAACGUCGAGAAGGUGGACACCGAAACGUCGCCGG